rnacentral:rRNA from 1 species
CGAGUCCGAGUCUCCACGGAGACGAAGUGGCGGUCAUCCAGCUUCCUAGAAAAGCUCUAACCACGUUAAUCUUUAGUUGCCUGUACCCGAAACCGACACAGGUAGGGGGGUAGAGAAUACCAAGGGGCGCGAGAUAACUCUCUCUAAGGAACUCGGCAAAAUGACCCCGUAACUUCGGGAGAAGGGGUACCACUGAGAAGUGGUCGCAGUGAAGAGGCCCAGGCGACUGUUUACCAAAAACACAGGUCUCCGCCAAGUCGCAAGACGAAGUAUGGGGGCUGACGCCUGCCCAGUGCCGGAAGGUUAAGGAAGUGGGUUAGGGAUUCGUCCCGAAGCUGACGACUGAAGCCCCGGUGAACGGCGGCCGUAACUAUAACGGUCCUAAGGUAGCGAAAUUCCUUGUCGGGUAAGUUCCGACCCGCACGAAAGGCGUAACGAUCUGGGCGCUGUCUCGGAGAGAGGCUCGGCGAAAUAGGAAUGUCUGUGAAGAUACGGACUACCUGCACCUGGACAGAAAGACCCUAUGAAGCUUUACUGUAGCUUGGAAUUGGGUUCGGGCUUGGUUUGCGCAGGAUAGGUGGGAGGCGAAGAAGAUUUGCUUGUGGGUGAAUCUGAGCCAACGGUGAGAUACCACUCUAACCAGGCUAGAAUUCUAACUUCAACCCGUCAACCGGGGGAAGGACAGUUUCAGGUGGGCAGUUUGACUGGGGCGGUCGCCUCCUAAAAGAUAACGGAGGCGCACAAAGGUUCCCUCAGGCUGGUUGGAAAUCAGCCAACGAGUGCAAAGGCAGAAGGGAGCUUGACUGCGAGACCUACAAGUCAAGCAGGGUGGAAACACGGUCUUAGUGAUCCGACGGCACCGAGUGGAAGGGCCGUCGCUCAACGGAUAAAAGUUACUCUAGGAUAACAGGCUGAUCUCCCCCAAGAGUUCACAUCGACGGGGAGGUUUGGCACCUCGAUGUCGGCUCAUCGCAACCUGGGGCGGAAGUACGUCCCAAGGGUUGGGCUGUUCGCCCAUUAAAGCGGUACGUGAGCUGGGUUCAGAACGUCGUGAGACAGUUCGGUCCAUAUCCGGUGUAGGCGCAAGAACAUUGAGAGGAGUCUUCCUUAGUACGAGAGGACCGGGAAGAACGCACCGCUGGUGUACCUGUUAUCGUGCCAACGGUAAACGCAGGGUAGCCAAGUGCGGAGUGGAUAACCGCUGAAAGCAUCUAAGUGGGAAGCCCACCUCAAGAUGAGUGUUCUCAUGGAGUAAUCCAGUAAGGUCACGGGAAGACGACCCGUUGAUAGGCGGUAGGUGGAAGUUCAGCAAUGGAUGAAGCCGAGCCGUACUAACAGACCGAGGGCUUGAC